AUAAACGCUGGCGGCGUGCCUAAAACAUGCAAGUCGAACGGGCUCAUGCUUUCGGGUGUGAGUUAGUGGCGGACGGCUGAGUAACACGUGGGUGACCUGCCCUCGAGCGGGGGAUAACUGCCCGAAAGGGUAGCUAAUACCGCAGAUGUCGGUCUUUCGGUAGGCUGACUGAACCGUAUAGGGUUCGAGGAGGGGCCCGCGGCCGAUUAGCUCGCUGGUGGGGUAACGGCCUACCAGGGCAUCGAUCGGUAGCUGGUCUGAGAGGAUGAUCAGCCAGACUGGGACUGCGAACGGUCCAGACUCCUACGGGAGGCAGCAGUUAGGAAUUUUGGGCAAUGGGCGAAAGCCUGACCCAGCAACGCCGCGUGGGUGAUGAAGGCCCUCGGGUCGUAAAGCCCUUUUCCAGGGGAAGAUAGUGACGGUACCCUGGGAAUCAGCCCCGGCUAACUACGU
rnacentral:rRNA from 1 species